rnacentral:lncRNA from 1 species
GCUGGGCUGAGAUGUCCUUUGAAAUGGGUGCCUUCUGUGUGCCCAGGGCCUGGCACAUAGAAGGGACUGAAGUGCUUUUGAAAAGAACACAUGAUCGGAGUUGGGUUUGUUCCCAAGUCCUUCUAAAGGACAUGGACAUCAAGCCUAUCCACUGCAAGGUACCUGUUUUACAAAGUCCCCUAAAAAGUGGUCAUAUGGUCCCGCUUGGUCCCUUCCUUUCUGGGAGGGAGCCUCAUAACUCCUAGAGCUCAUUUUCAAUUGACAUCACCGAGAUGGUGAAGUAGGAGGCCCCAGCCGCCAUCCGCCCACCCACCCGCCCAAAGACCAACAAUUAGCUAUCUGCAAAGAUAUACAGCUCUGAGCGAGCUCAGGAGUCUACUUAAGAAAAUUCAGCAACUCAGUGGGACAAAAACCUGAGAAUAAUCACACAGAGAUGGGAGGAAAAAGAGCUUCAUUGUGUCUGCAAUCUCCCAUGCCCUAGGCAGGCUCUGCUCAGCACCAAGAGAAACCUCCCAGACUAGGGAGAGUUGCCCGCCCCAGGAAAGGGCAUGGGCGUGACCAGCUUCCCCAGCCUUUUGGGGCAUCAAACAAAGGACCUGUUGAGUUUAUCCCACCCAGAGACCGGCAAAGCUGAGACACAGAACAAGUGUCAGCCCUGCAGCUGUUAAAACCAUGGGUCCUAGUGCCCUGGUCCACAGUCCCCUGCAGCUUUCGACAGUUACCACCCCAUGGGAAUUCCGAUCCCCAACCAUCCGCUGCCUGCUCCCCGCCCUCCCCUGGCCCCACUGGAGCCCAGCAUCUGGACUGGCAACCUACCCGGACCUCUGAAGCUCCGCAGGUGCAAGACGCCAGCCUAGGCCCCUGAGGCUGGCCCCUACUGCCAGGUGUAAACUUGUGGUCAGCCCCUUCCAGCUGUGUGCCUGCACACACCCAGGCUGAUCCCCAUCGCCCGCUUCCACUGCUGUGCACAUGCCUGUGGGAAGGCACUGCAGCUCUGGGAAAGCACACCACCUGUCUGACGGGCCCACACCUGGCCCAGACCCUUGGUACCUGCUCUGUCCCCCACCACUGUGUGUGUGUCUACAGCCAGCCCCUGCCAUCACACACGCACCUGCAGCGGGCCUCCCCAGCCAGAUGUGUGCGUGCCUCAAGCUCCAGGUCUCGUUGCUUCCUGCCCUGAUCAGCAGGCCUCCCCAGCCAGAUACGUGCGUGCCUCAAGCUCCAGGUCAUUGUUGCUUCCUGCCCUGAUCCCUAGAUGCUGAACCUGGAGGUGCCACUGGGGAACCCACCAGCCCUUGCAGACACUGCAGACCCCCGACAGUGCUUGUCAGGAACUACACAAUGGAUGCUGUGACCCUCAGUGACCUGAGUCAAUGACAAUAUCCCUCCCACCCAGACACACACCUGCACAUGACACCCUGUACCACUGGGCCUGGGUCACAGCAUGUUCCAGCACAUCCCCAACCGAAGGUGAAAGUCUUAUACCAAAGGCAGCUCAUAAAGUUCGGAUGAGGUAACUGCAUACACACCUAUAUACAAGACUUCAGGGAUCACAGAAUCGGGGAAUCAUGAGACCACCAAAGGAACAUGGUAAAUUUCCAGCAACCCUCCCUAAAGAAGUGGAGAAACAUGAGUUGCCCAACAAAGAAUUCAAAAUAAUUGUUCUAAAAAUGCUCAGAGAGCUACAGGAGAACAUAGAUAAAACAAUUAACAAAAUCAUGAAAGCAAGAACAAAAUGAGAAGUUCAGUAGAAAACAUAAAGACGAACCAAACAAAUUUUGGAGCUGAAGAGCACAAUGACUGAACUGAAGAAUUUAAUACAGAGCUUCAACAACAGACUAGAUCAAGCAGAAGAAAGAAUCAGUGAGCUUGAAAACAGAGCAUUUGAAAUUAUCCAGAGAAGGGGGUGGGGGAAGAAUGAAGAGAAAUGAAAAGCUUACAGGACUUCUGAGACACCAUUAAGAAACAGUCUGCACAUCAAUGGAGCCCCAGGAGAAGAGGGGGAGGAAGGGCAGGAAGCUUGUUUAAAUAAAUGAUGACUGAGAACUUCCCAAACCUGGGUAGGCAUUUGGACAUCCAGGUUUCAGUCCAAAACACUCUUCUCCAAGACACAUUUUUAACAAAACUGUCUAAAACCAUAACUCCCNNNNNNNNNNNNNNNNNNNNNNNNNNNNNNNNNNNNNNNNNNNNNNNNNNNNNNNNNNNNNNNNNNNNNNNNNNNNNNNNNNNNNNNNNNNNNNNNNNNUCCAAGACACAUUUUUAACAAAACUGUCUAAAACCAUAACUCCCAGAGCAGCCUCUUCAUUUGUGACUGUUGGCUUCAGUGCAGAGUUAUCCAGUUGUUUUACAUUUUAGGUGAAGAACCUUACUGUUGCAGGUUUUGUUGUUUGGAUCAGUAUUUCUUGGAAACGCUAUCUAUACACUCUUAGUUGGCCUAUUGUUACAUGACAGUACAGCCUGUGGGCAAGCAGUUGUCCAGGAUGCUGUGUUGUCUGUCUGCACUGACCAGUACAUGAGGCUGUGAGGCGCAGCUGAGGAUGUGAUUGUCGAUAAAUGUCUGCUUUCAGGCCUAGACCUGCUCAGCUAUCCAAGACUUGCAGGAUGCGUCAUAAUAAAUGCUUGGGGUGAAAUGUGUGAAAUCGCUCAAUUCUGUUAACACACACUCUGUUACAAUUGACAAGUCCUUGUGUUGAAGCAGAAGCUGUGGCUAUAAAAACUAACGGCUGCCUUUUCAAAGCAGUAGUAGAGGAAUGGCAAAUAAUAGUUUCCCUACUCUAAUUUUAAGAUGAAAUUAUUUCACCUGAAGCUUUUAAAUUUGUUUUUCUAUUUAGGUGGUUUAUGCCUGUUUUUAGCUGAUUUUUCAAAUGUUCAUCCUACCUGAACUAUGAGAACUCUAUUUUUGCACCUGGUGAAAUUCAGUACCCAAGCACUGCUUUGGUUGUUCACUGUAUCUCUGAUCAAGGUAUAGGAUUUCAUGCCCACUUUUCUUCCUUUAAAAAAAAAAAAAAAAAAACACAGUUUAUCAAGAAAUUAUGG